rnacentral:lncRNA from 1 species
UAGAGCCUUGCCUUGAUGUUGAAUGAUGAAGUUCUUCUGCCUUGUGGAUGCUUGGAGUGAAAUUCAAUGUUCAACCUCUUUGAUGUUUUUUGGACAUGAAGUUGAAAAAUGCAAGGUGGAGUUUUAGAGUACAAGGUUUUGUGGUGUUGGAUGAUAACAGCAUGGUUCCAAAUGCAAGGCUUGGUUUUGUUCAAUAGUUUGUUGACUGGUUUGGAGGAAUGGCCAAGUGAAAUGAAUUUUGUGUUUUUUAGUGGCAAGGCAAUGUUGGUUCCUUGUGGUUUGGUAUUGUUAUGUUGGUUACUAGCAGGUUUUGAAACACAAGGCAAGGCCAAAUGGAUGUAGUUAGUUUAACAUGAUGAAGAGUUGCAAUGGCUAGGUUUUUG